rnacentral:lncRNA from 1 species
GGACAGUGAAAAAAAGGGAUUUAUAAAUAAAAUCUAUGCCAUCCAGGAGGUAUGUGUGAGUAUCCAGAACAUCCUAGAUGAAGUGGCUUCCUUUGGCGAAAGGAUAAAGAAGUGAGUGAUGCUGACAUGUGAGCCCUGGCCUUCUGUGGGACAGGGUAUCCAUUUAUUUCUUGAAGGGUGAAAUGCCACAUUCAUUUUGGCAGGACAUACUCCUUCUGGGUGAUCUAUUGCUCAGUUUCAUCAUCAUUUACUUUGUUUCUGCCAGUCUUUGGUUUUAUGAAAGUUCUGUCAAUUUCUUCCCUGAAAUUUAGAACAUAUUGGUUGGAAAGAAGUCAUACUUGUAGCUUUGAAGAAAUAACACCAUCCUAAAUUUUAGCACAUUUUUCACAGUGAAAGACUUUGUUCUUAAAUGGAAUAUGCAAUCAUGAUAGAAAAAAAUAAAUCAAGCUAAAUGAUGAUUUCAGGUAAUGAAUACACUUGUAUUUUAUUAUUGGUCUAGUUAUAGUUUCAAGUUACUCUAUAUUUAAAAAAAAUAUUAUGUAUAGCACCCUACAGAAAUAUUCCUAUACUCUAUUCCUCCCGCCCACCUCAGGAAUUGAACCUAGAGGUGCUUUACCACUGAACCAUAUCCCCAGCCCUUUGUAUUUUUUUUAUUUUGAGACAGGGCCUAAGUUGGUUAUGACCUCACUAAAUUGGGGAGGUUGUCUUGAACUUGAGAUCCUCCUGACUUAGCCUCCCAAGUCACUGGGAUUACAGGCCUCCAUGCCCGGCCCUAAACUCAGAUAUUUUAGUUUAAAUAUCUGAGAUCAUAAUUAUCAAUGAAACAAACUUUUGCCAUCUAGAAAAAUCGCAGAAUUUUUAUACUUAAAAAUUCGAAUCUUGGGCUGGGGAUGUGGCUCAAGCAGUAGUGCGCUCGCGGCGCUGGGUUCAAUCCUCAGCAUAAAAAUAAAGAUGUUGUGUCCACCGAAAACUAAAAAAUAAAUAUUAAAAAAUUCUCUCUUUUUUAAAAAAAUAUUAGAAUCUUAAUUUUUUAUACAGCUUCAUUGAGAGCUAACAUAAAAUUAAGGAACUUACUUUAUCUUAUUGUUUUAUUAUUUUAUUUACUAAUACAUUUUUAAAAAUUAGCCAGGUGUGGUGGUACAUGCCUAUAGUCCCAGCAACUUGGGAGGCUGAGGUAGAAGGAUUUCAAGUUCAAGGUAAGCCUGGGCAGCUUAGUGAGACUGUCUCAAGGUUAAAAAUUAAAAAGGACUUAAAAGGCCUGGGGUUGUAGCUCUAUAGUAAAUUGCCUCUAGGUUCAAUCACCAAUACCCCCUCCCCCGAAAAAAGUUUACUUAGGAAAAAAAAAACCGGUAAGGUGAAUUUACAGUAAUUGGUUAUGAGUUGAAGCCAUGCUAAGGCCUCAUAAACUACAUGAAACUGGCCUGUGUAAUGAUUGCUAAUGAUCUAGUCAAGAAGGGGUACAAUGUAUCUGGAUAAGCCUGGUUUUCUUAGUUUAAAUAUCAAUCUUUUUUAUUGAUAACCUAAAGUAUUCUGCAGAUUUAGAUCCUUGGACAUACACAGAAUUUGAAAGGAGUCAAUUAUUUAAACAAAAGGUGUGAAUCAUUCAUUGGUCCUUUCUCUCUCGCUCGCAAAUGUACCCCUAAACAAUAUUCAGCCUUGGACUUUAAAAGACUCACUCCCACGCCUUUUCUCUCUCCUUCUUCCUCCCUGUGCUAUUUCUAAGAAUGUUCCCUGUACUCUCUACCCUAUCCACUGAAGCAUAGUGUGGCCUAAAUUUGGGGCAUUGGUAGCCCUAAAUUUGGGACAUUCUUUUUACUUUUCUCCGGAGUACAUCAUAUACUGAUAAUGUGAUGGAAACCUCUCAUUUAUACCAGAAGACCAUGGAUCAGCUCUGAGAUCAGACUAAUGAACACCUGAGGGAAAGAAAGCUUUUUUAACUCUGAAUGGUGGGAGGACUCAAACAGAGAACAUGAUAGCUAGCUGAAGGAUAUGAUCAGAGUCUGGAGGUGGACCAGCUCUGGGGGAACCUGGGCUUUGUAGAAUUUUCUGUGCUGAGGUACAGGAAUAUGGCAUAAGAUUGAGUAAGUCUUACAGGAGCUAUAUCUUCUGUAAAACAAUAUUUUGGAUACCAAAAAAGCAAAGUUCCCCUGGGGUCACAUAAGAUUAAAAACAUCAUCCAGAAAGCAGAUUCAGAAGUGAUCUUUAAGCACAAAAUGAAAUCUCUAUAAACACCAUGUCUUGUUACUAAAUAAUCAUUCCAGAACUUUCUUGAAUUGCAACUCUUUUUUGGGGAAGAGCAUAUUCUAGAUUUAGAUUCCAUAAUGCAAAAUGUAGAAACAGAAAAGGGCAAGCUUUUUUCCCUACCACUAGCUACAGUGGUGAGGAUUCUUUGCCAUCUAUCCUUCCAAUAAGAGAAAGAAAAACACAGGGAGUCCUUCAGUGGGGCUGCCCAGAAGGAAGGUUUUCCAAACGAAGUGCCAGUGCCCUCACACAUGGAGUGGUGUGAUGGAUGGCUCUGAACUGAGCCGUAGGAAAGAAAGCCUUCUGUUCUCUCCACAAGCAGGCAGAAGCAAGGAAAGCACAGGUGUCCAUCAAGGAAGUAAAGCAUGAACCUUACCUACUGACACAGUCUCAGGAUGCUCACUCUGACCAUAAGAGGAAAAAACAAAGAAAAGCCAAAAAUCCAAGGGUUAUUGAAAACAGGACAGCCAACUUAUCCAAUUUUGAAUCAACUUAUCCAACUUUGGAUCGUUUACUAGAACAAACAAUUUUAGGUAACAAUGAACCUAGGGAGACACAAAAAAGCAAGCUAAAAGACAUAAAGCUAAGGAACAACUCUUAUGUGUUAAGCUGAGGUAUAGUAUAGGAAAAAAAUUUCUUAGUAAUCACCCUUCAUUGGAUCAAAACUGCCCUGACAAACCCCACUCCAAAUGACUAUAACAUGCAUUACCAAGAAAUUAGAAGAAAUAAAUUUUGUAUUUUCUGAAUUGUGUUUGGAGUCCUUCUCACUGGAAGAAAUGACACACUUUAGACUCCUGGAGUUGAUUAUCUCUGAUCACCUUGAAUCACAUAAAUAUGCUGCAUCACAACCAAUCUUUCUUGAUAUAACAGAAGCUAUCCUAAUGUUCUAAAGGAGAUAACCUAGGGUUAGAGAUGUUGACUCAUACAACAGAAUCCAGGCUUUGAAUAUAGAUCUCUUUACUUCUUGGCUCAUUUCAUGAAACUACUGUUAGACUCAGUAGACACAAUAUGUUAGUUUCUCUUUGGUACUGAACAUUAUAGAGAUUUCAAAAAAAAAUGCAAUGGUGUAUCUGUAAAUAGUGAUGUUUAUGUAUACCUAACCUAGAGGCUCAAUGCAUUUCUAUUUAUUCUAUAAUUUUGUUAUCUGAGAUUCAUCACAGAACUUCUACACAGAAAGCCUUAAAUAGAAUCUUUCCAUCUUUCAUUUCCUUGAUUCUCUACACUCUUUUAAAAAAAGUUCUACAUCAUCUUUUUUGUGUGUGUGUCUUCAUUUUCCCUGUUGUUCCACUAAAUUAUUUCCCCAUUUCCUUACUUUUUGUAACAUCCCCUACUCUUGUUCAUUGAUCCUGUUUCUGCUUUUAUCAUGUCUUACUGUUAAUACUUACUGUCUUGUAGCCCUCUGGGACCAAGUCCUCCACGUUAUCAAUCACCAGCAGUAUAGCAACACUACAGACCCAUUAACCCCAGCCUACUAUAAGCAUACUUUUCCAGUUUGUAUUCCCUUUUCACAGUUUAUCCUACAAAUCCAUCAUGUGCCAUUCUCUCCCAAAGUACUAGAGGGAGAAUAACAGGCAAUGCUGAUGUUAUUUCUUAAUUACCUAUCUAUUCCUGAGGAGAAGGGCAAUAAUAGCAGGUAAAGCUUUAUAAGGUUAAUUGCUUUGUCCCCCUUUCCUUAUUUAUAAUUCCAUUUGAAACAUAACUGAGUAAGAAUUCUAAAAUUUAGAGGGUUUAUAUCAAAGUAUAAGAACUGUGUCUAUAGACAACUGCUAGAAACAUUUUAUUCCCAAUGUGGGAAAAACUGAGUGAAGGUUGGUAGAGGGAAGAAUGCCCAGGGUAGUUCCACUCCUAAAAAACAAAACAAAACAAAAACAAAGAAAGAAAAGGAGGCUGGGUAUUAGUUUUAGCAGGAGAAAAAUGAAUCUUUUUACCAUGUGUGGAGUCACACAAACAGUACAAUAGCUCUUUUUGCUAAAGAGUUAGGUAAUAGAAUGUUAGUUCCUCUUUGAUAAGUGAAUUACAUAGAUUUCAAAGAGUACAAGUGAUUAGACUCUGAAGUUGUCCACUACAAUCCAAGUGGGCUUCUAUAUUCAUGGAAUUGAGCAAAUCUUGAGUAACCUGUGUCCUCUGAUAAGCCUACCACAGUUGGCUUCUACUCCAGAGAAAAAUGCAGACUGAUUAGGUUCCAAAUUAGUCAAAAUCACAUUUAUUUUAAUCUUUGUUUGAAAAAGGUGUGAAGUGCUCAGAUUGCUGAUGUGUUAUAUUUUUCACUUAGUACUUUCAACUGGACUGUUCUAUUCUUAUGCUGGCUGGCCAUUGUAGCCCUCUGUGUGUUCACAAUCAUCCUGUACUUCGUUCCACUAUGAUACAUUGUCCUUGUCUGGGGUAAGUAAAAAGUCUUUUUAAAAUUUUUUUUAAGUGUCUUAACUGUUAAGAAUAAACUAUUUUUAAGGGAUGAGUUAUACUCUCAGUAGUUCACUAUAUUUAUGGUCAUGUGGCUAUUCUAUGAUGAAAUGAGACAGAUCAGUUAAAAAUCACAACAGUGUAAAGAUUUAGGUCUACCUGAAAAAUGCAUUUUUCUUAUCUGGCACCAUAGGCUCUAUCAGACUAUAAAGGUGUAGUUGUGCAGA